UACGAAGGGGGCUAGCGUUGCUCGGAAUCACUGGGCGUAAAGGGUGCGUAGGCGGGUCUUUAAGUCGGGGGUGAAAUCCUGGAGCUCAACUCCAGAACUGCCUUUGAUACUGAAGAUCUUGAGUUCGGGAGAGGUGAGUGGAACUGCGAGUGUAGAGGUGAAAUUCGUAGAUAUUCGCGAGAACACCAGUGGCGAAGGCGGCUCACUGGCCCGAUACUGACGCUGAGGCACGAAAGCGUGGGGAGCAAACAGG
rnacentral:rRNA from 1 species